rnacentral:rRNA from 1 species
CACCGCGGUUAUACGAGUGACACAAAUUAAUAUUCAACGGCGUUAAGGGUGAUUAGAAAUACCUCUAUUAAAAUAAAGUUCAGACUCCAUCAAGCUGUCAUACGCUCCUAUGUACAAAAACAUCAAUCACGAAAGUAACUUUACAUAAAACAGAAAUUUUGACCUCACGACAGUUAAGACC